rnacentral:lncRNA from 1 species
CCUACAACUUUUGCAUUGGGUUAAUUAUCAAUCGUAUUGAUAAUUAUACCUUUAACGAUUCAUAAUCGUCGAUCAAUCAUCGGAUCAGACAGAAAACUCUUUUGUGUGUGACCUUAUAGGCUCCAUUCUAUCUGGUAGUGAGAUAACAUUAUAUCAUCAAAAAAAUUUUCGAUGGAUUGAAAUAAUUCCAACACUAUCCAUUGAGAAUCAUCGAUCAUUAAGAUAAUACUCG